GAUGAACGCUGGCGGCGUGCCUAAUACAUGCAAGUCGAGCGAACGGACGAGAAGCUUGCUUUUCUGAUGUUAGCGGCGGACGGGGGAGUAACACGUGGAUAACCUACCUAUAAGACUGGGAUAACUUCGGGAAACCGGAGCUAAUACCGGAUAAUAGUUUGAACCGCAUGGUUCAAAAGUGAAAGACGGUCUUGCUGUCACUUAUAGAUGGAUCCGCGCUGCAUUAGCUAGUUGGUAAGGUAACGGCUUACCAAGGCAACGAUGCAUAGCCGACCUGAGAGGGUGAUCGGCCACACUGGAACUGAGACACGGUCCAGACUCCUACGGGAGGCAGCAGUAGGGAAUCUUCCGCAAUGGGCGAAAGCCUGACGGAGCAACGCCGCGUGAGUGAUGAAGGUCUUCGGAUCGUAAAACUCUGUUAUUAGGGAAGAACAUAUGUGUAAGUAACUGUGCACAUCUUGACGGUACCUAAUCAGAAAGCCACGGCUAACUACGUG
rnacentral:rRNA from 1 species